UCUCCAGCAGAUUGGUGGUCCUUUUU
rnacentral:piRNA from 1 species